AUUUUAGACUGACUGGUAUGGUGUUUUGGGAAGCAUUCAUGUAAUGCUUUUUUCUGAAUAUAUGAAACUACGCAAAAACAAAAAUGGAGAAUGGGAAAUCUGUAGCAAAUUCAAAAGAUAUUGGCAAUCAGACUUUUGGCAAAGUCUGUUUCAUACUUUUCUAAAUAUUCCCAACUGUAGUGAAAUUCCAGACAUUACACCCUUUAUCAACCAACUGAACAAAAAACUUAAAGAACCAAUCCAAAUAAAUGCUCUGAAGACCAAGGCUAAAGAACUAUGUGACAUUUUUUUAUUAUAAAUAUUUACACAAUAUCAUUGUAACUGGACUUUUCCUUCAAUUUUCUUCUGAAUUUCUUCUGACUGUAUUUGUUCUAAUGUAAGAAGUGAGAUACCCAAUUGAUCUUCCUGUUUUAGAGAGAAAAAAUAAUUUGCAUCUAAUGAAGAUUUUUUAAGAUAAAAUAUAUUAGUUAUUAAUAAUCACCCUUGAAAAUGUUUGUGCCAUCUGUCUCAAAAAACGUUUUGAGAUCUGUACUGUUUCUUCAAUGGAAA